rnacentral:rRNA from 1 species
GGAGUUAGCCGGUGCUUCUUCUGUGAGUGAUGUCCUUCCUGCCGGCUAUUAACCCGCAGGCCUUCUUCCUCACUGAAAGUGCUUUACAACCCGAAGGCCUUCUUCACACACGCGGCAUGGCUGGAUCAGGGUUGCCCCCAUUGUCCAAUAUUCCCCACUGCUGCCUCCCGUAGGAGUCUGGGCCGUGUCUCAGUCCCAGUGUGGCUGAUCAUCCUCUCAGACCAGCUACGGAUCGUCGCCUUGGUGAGCCGUUACCUCACCAACCAGCUAAUCCGACAUAGGCUCAUCCGAUAGCGCGAGGCCCGAAGGUCCCCCGCUUUCCCCCGUAGGGCGUAUGCGGUAUUAGCCUGGGUUUCCCCAGGUUAUCCCCCACUACCGGGCAGAUUCCUAUGCAUUACUCACCCGUCCGCCGCUCGCCACCAGGGAGCAAGCUCCCCGUGCUGCCGCUCGACUUGCAUGUGUAGCUCGCCGCCACGCGUCAUCUGAGCCAGAAUACAACUACUCGA